AAAGAAUAAAUAGAUAUUUGCGAUUGAAAAUGAUGUCCAUGCAAACGAUUAUGUUUUUUUUUUCAGUUUUAUUUUUUUUUUUUUUUGGGGGGGGGGGGGUCGUUAAAUGUCAUAUCCUUGACAUUUAUGUAUACAUCCGGUUACUUCGGUAAAUUCCGUAAUUACGAGUAUCCCGAAAACGUCGUUGAACCCAUGCAUCGAUACAACUAAUUGAAAGAUGUCAAAUUAAUUAACAGAUACUUAACGAUUUUGCGGCAUCGCACUAUAAACGUUUGAAGUCGGUUUGUUGGAGUUCCUGUCAAUAUAAUACUU
rnacentral:lncRNA from 1 species